rnacentral:rRNA from 1 species
AUUGAACGCUGGCGGCAGGCUUAACACAUGCAAGUCGAGCGAUUCUCUUCGGAGAAGAGCGGCGGACGGGUGAGUAACGCGUGGGUAACCUGCCCUGUACACACGGAUAACAUACCGAAAGGUAUGCUAAUACGAGAUAAUAUGCUUUUAUCGCAUGGUAGAAGUAUCAAAGCUUUUGCGGUACAGGAUGGACCCGCGUCUGAUUAGCUAGUUGGUAAGGUAACGGCUUACCAAGGCGACGAUCCAUAGCUGGUCUGAGAGGAUGAUCAGCCACACUGGGACUGAGACACGACCCAGACUCCUAAGGGAGGCAGCAGUGGGGAAUCUUGGACAAUGGGCGAAAGCCUGAUCCAGCCAUGCCGCGUGAGUGAAGAAGGCCUUAGGGUUGUAAAGCUCUUUCGGCGGGGACGAUAAUGACGGUACCCGCAGAAGAAGCCCCGGCUAACUCCGUGCCAGCCGCCGCGGUAAGAC